AAGUCGUAACAAGGUUUCCGUAGGUGAACCUGCGGAAGGAUCAUUAUCACAAAAUGAUUUUAGCUUUCCCAAAAUUAAUCCUUUGGGAAGCUAACCUCUUCUAAACCAAUUUAAACAAAUGCGAAACUGUUUCAAAUUUGCUUUUUUUUAUUUGCGAUGAAUGGGUGAAUAUCUUCGCCUGUUCAGACCAAAGAAAAAAAAACAAAUUUCUUCUUUUUAACCAAUUGAACCCUUUUUCUAAUUUAAUGUUAUUUUAUUUCUAUUUAGUUCUGAAAUACUUAUUUAUAUGCUUUGCUCUUCAUUGAGCACAAGAAUAUUAAUAAGGAAUUACAUUACGAAACAAUAAAAAUAAAACAACUCUUAGCAACGGAUAUCUUGGUUCUC
rnacentral:misc_RNA from 1 species